rnacentral:rRNA from 1 species
UACGUAGGGGGCGAGCGUUGUCCGGAAUGACUGGGCGUAAAGGGCGCGUAGACGGCUUUUUAAGUCUGGAGUGAAAGUCCUGCUUUCAAGGUGGGAAUUGCUUUGGAGACUGGAAGGCUUGAGUGCGGAAGAGGUAAGUGGAAUUCCCAGUGUAGCGGUGAAAUGCGUAGAGAUUGGGAAGAACACCAGUGGCGAAGGCGACUUACUGGGCCGUAACUGACGUUGAUGCGCGAAAGCGUGGGGAGCGAACAGG